AAGUGAAAUGAUGGCAAACAUCUUUCGGGACUGACCUGAAAUGAAGAGAAUAUUCAUUGCUGAUCACUU